rnacentral:rRNA from 1 species
UACAGAGGGUGCGAGCGUUAAUCGGAAUUACUGGGCGUAAAGCGUGCGUAGACGGUUAUUUAAGUCGGGUGUGAAAGCCCCGGGCUCAACCUGGGAAUUGCAUUCGAUACUGCGUGGCUAGAGUGCUGGAGGGGAGACUGGAAUUUACGGUGUAGCAGUGAAAUGCGUAGAUAUCGUAAGGAAGACCAGUGGCGAAGGCGAGUCUCUGGACAGCAACUGACGCUGAGGCACGAAGGCCAGGGGAGCAAACGGG